AAAGGACUGAAGGAUACUUCACAAUCAACAACUGCUCAGAUUCCUUGAGCUACACUUUGGUCCUAUCAAGACAGGCAAGCAGCUGCAUGAGAGGUGGAAAGAGAGCAAAAAUGAUUGAGAUGAAAUCACCACAAACAGCUAUUGCAGGAAGAAAGGCAGUGUUGGAUCCCAGCCACAGUAUUUCUGCAACCUGGUUUGAAUGGGCCUGGUGGGAUGCUGUAAUGGAACCUGCACAGAACAAGGUGCUUCUAUCUCAUCUCCUCAGGCUUCCUGUCAUGGCCACUUGAGAGCUUGGAUGAGGAAGAGCAGCAUCUGGAAG